GUUGGGUGAGGACGACACGUGUUGCUUCAUUAUCAAGCAGUAAACCGUGGCGUCGUCCGCUGUUGGUUGUUGUCCACAAAUACUACACCACCGAGGCUUCAAAGUAUUACACUACAAUUUAUGCUGCCCCGAGCUGCAUCACCAAAGAGCCCGGACCCACCCCCAGCAACGGAAACCUGCAGAAGGAAAAGGCCAGUUUGC